GGAGGGAGUUUGAAGCCCUUCAGGAGCGCUACGCACAGGCCCAGGGCUCAGACGAGGCCUCCAGCACGGCAGAGGAGCGAAGUGAAGAGAAGUCUCAGAACGGCGGGGCAGAGGGAGAGAGUGCGGAGGCCAUGAAGGAGAAGCUGCGCGGGCUGGAGGAGCAGCUGGCCUCCUCCCAGACUGAACUAGAGGAGCUGAAGGAACAGGUGCGCCUCGGGGUGCUUUCCGUGGAGCAGCUCGAUAAUGACAGGGAACGGGACACGCCUGGAACGGGGGGUGGGGCUGAGGCCGACGAGGGGUUGAGGCAGGAGGCGCAGCAGCUGAGAGCGAGGGUCGCGGCGCUGGAGGCAGAGAUAGCUAAGAGAGAGGGCGAGGCAGAGGGCCAAAGCAGCCAGGACAGUGACACAAUCAAACAGCUGACGACAAAAGUAGAGGAUCUCCAAGCUGCCCUGGCCAAGAGAGAGUCAGCAAAAGAGGAAGGGGGAAAGAACGAAGGAGAAGGAGAGGGAGAAACCGUGAAGCACCUCCGUGACAGGCUGACUGAACUGGAGGCAGCCCUGGCAGAGAGCAGGGCUUCAGAGAAGGUGGACGCGGGGCGGGAGAGCGGAGCAGGACAUGUGGAAGGGGAGCUGGUGCGUCGCCUCCAGAUCCGUGUGGGGGAGCUGGAGGGAGAGCUGAGGAGGUGCGUGCCCAGGUCAGAGCUGGAGGAGGUGCAGGUGACCCUGGGACUCCAGUGCGAGCAGCUGGCCAGGGAGCGGGCUGAAGUGGCUGUCAGGCUCAACGAGGCUCUGCUGGAGCUGGAGCGAGUCAGGCCUCCUUCACAUCGAGAUGGAGAUGACGACGAGGAGGAAGAGGAGGAGGAGCGCUCAGAAAGCUCAGAGCCCUCAAUCACAUCAGAUCACUCCAGACGCACCCUGGCGGCAGUGAGAGAGGAACUGGAGGUAGCGAGGCAGGAAGCCGCGCA
rnacentral:lncRNA from 1 species